rnacentral:rRNA from 1 species
UACGUAGGGUGCAAGCGUUGUCCGGAAUUAUUGGGCGUAAAGAGCUCGUAGGUGGCCUGUCGCGUCGGCUGUGAAAACUCGGGGCUCAACUCCGAGCUUGCAGUCGAUACGGGCAGGCUGGAGUUCGGCAGGGGAGACUGGAAUUCCUGGUGUAGCGGUGAAAUGCGCAGAUAUCAGGAGGAACACCGGUGGCGAAGGCGGGUCUCUGGGCCGAUACUGACACUGAGGAGCGAAAGCGUGGGGAGCGAACAGG